rnacentral:rRNA from 1 species
AAUGAACGCUGGCGGCGCGCCUAAUACAUGCAAGUCGAGCGAGAAGACGUAGCAAUACGUUUGUAAAGCGGCGAACGGGUGAGGAAUACAUGGGUAACCUACCCUCGAGUGGGGAAUAACUAGCCGAAAGGUUAGCUAAUACCGCGUACGCUCCUUGGACUUCGGUUCAGGGAGGAAAGCGAUACCGUGGGUAUCGCGCUCUUGGAUGGGCUCAUGUCCUAUCAGCUUGUUGGUGAGGUAACGGCUCACCAAGGCUUCGACGGGUAGCUGGUCUGAGAGGACGAUCAGCCACACUGGCACUGCGACACGGGCCAGACUCCUACGGGAGGCAGCAGUAAGGAAUAUUGCGCAAUGGGCGAAAGCCUGACGCAGCGACGCCGC